rnacentral:misc_RNA from 1 species
AGCACUUUCUUUCUCCUUGUGGGAGUUUGGAGGAAAUCGAAGAGCACGGACAGCCUCAUUAUGCAUGUUAAGACAGAAAGCAAUUCUCGAGUUGAAAGCAAUUUGAGGCUCAUUUGUGGAGUAAAUAUCUCCAGUUUCCUUUGAUACCAUCCAUCCGUUAGCAUGAUCCAACGUGGCAUCAAUUGCACCAUCUCGAAUCGCUUUAGACACAAUACUCUCAGCAUCAGCAACA